rnacentral:rRNA from 1 species
UACGUAGGGACCAAGCGUUGUUCGGAUUUACUGGGCGUAAAGGGCGCGUAGGCGGCAAUUCAAGUCAGUUGUGAAAUCUCCGAGCUUAACUCGGAACGGUCAACUGAUACUGUUUUGCUAGAGUACAGAAAGGGCAAUCGGAAUUCUUGGUGUAGCGGUGAAAUGCGUAGAUAUCAAGAGGAACACCUGAGGCGAAGGCGGGUUGCUAGGCUGAUACUGACGCUGAGUGCGCGAAAGCUAGGGUAGCAAACGGG